AGGUGACAGAGUGAGACUCUGUCUCAAAAUAAAUAAAUAAAUAAAAAUUAAAAAAAUAAAUUCCUUAAGUCUAAUGCCAAAGUGUGCUGUUCUUAAAAAUUAAACUGUAACUGUAAAGAAAGCUGCUUCUUUCUUAAUAACACUAGUCAGUCUGGACUCAACGUUCAGACUCCUGUCCCUAAGAUUCAGCAAUCACUUGGAGAAUCUGAUUCCCUCCAAGGUUGGGAGGGAAGGAAGUGCUGCUUCCAGUCUAAUGCCUGAGCCAAUGCACACACUAAGCCAAGACUGGAACAUUUAUACAAGACCAGUGAGUGCCACAGAAACUAACAUACAAAGUGUUUUAGGUAAUCUGAGUUACAAGGCACUGUAGAUUCAUUUUUGGUUCCUUGAUCAUAUAAAGGUGAGUAUUAGAAGAUCUAUUAUUGAUUUGCCAGGGAAGCGUUAGAACAUCACAUCUCUGUGUACUAAUUUCCUCAUAUGCUAAGUAACAAUGUUUUUAAAAACUGCUUUAAAGAGGAGCGAUUUAAGUGAAUGAGUAUAAACGACAGCAUGAAGUAGUAUAUAAACACAAACUAACUGCUUUUAUUGUGACUACUUUUUGGCAGCACUUCCUCUGAAGAAAAACUAAACAGAAUUUUUUUCUAGAAAUCUUUCUCUGUUGAAGAUAACAUUGCUGAAAAAUCUAAUGAUUUUGUGCAUGUAUGCCAAUACGUACAAGGACUGAUUCUUCUAACAGUAGAGUCAUAAGUUUUUCUCUUGAUCUUUUCAGUUUUUGCCAAGUGUGCAUCGAUGUUUCUCUUUUCUUGCUGCUUUUUCUCCCUGCCUUUAAACAAAAAUUUUUUUCCCUCAAAAUCUAGCUCGGACUCCCUUUCUCUCUUCACACUCCUUUGAGUAAUCUCAUGUAGUCACAAAACUGUGUAACAAUUCCCAUCAGACAGCUUUAAACUUGUAUUUCCUUUUCCCUGCUUAACACCUCUAUCAGAAAUAUCUGAUCAUUCACUAUUCCUUUAAAAAGAAAACAACAACAACAACAACAACAACAACAACAAAAGAAUUAUCUGAAAAAUCAGAUCCUCACCUUUGCUUUUUUCUUAUCAACAAUGGCAUCAACCAUCUUGGUUAUCUGGGUCAAAAAUCACUAAAUUGUCUCUGAUCCUGCUUUCUCUUUAAAGCCCUCAUGGAUAGUGAGUUGCAAAAUUUCAUAGAUUCUAGCUGGGUUUUUUUUUCCCCCAAUUUCUCCCCUUUCCAUUCCACCAACACUACACUAUUACAGAGCCUAAUCUCAGCCUGGAGAGUUACAGUCAUCUCCUAAUUUGUCUCUUCACUUUCUAUUAAUUGCCACUUCAAUUCAGAGUGGAUUUGCUUAAAUUACUGCUACUUUAAAGCAAUCAGUGGCUCCCUAGUGCCUCGUUCUGGCAUACAGGAUCCUCCACACUAAUGGCUCAAACCAACAUGUCCAGCUAAAUAUCACUGCUCCCCUAUACAUAUCUAUGUUCCAUCCAAAUCCAACUUACAUUCCUUAGACAUGCCUGGCAUUUUGGGGGAAGAGAGGACUUAAGUAUUUACCUUGUCUCUGCUUCUUGUCCUAUCUAUCCUUCAAGGCCCAUAAAAGUUUCUUUCCUUGAUUUCCCCACAACCUAACGUUGUCCUUCUCUUCUUUGCACUUGACCCUUUGUAACUCUUUGUAUGUUUUUUUUUUUUUCCAAACGUAACUGAUUUUACUAUAACUUACAGCAUAAUUGCUCAUGCCCAGUCUCAUUCCCACCUCUCCCUCAUGAGAUUUUAAAAUUCUUGAGCACAGGAAAGUUGUCAUGCUCAUCUUUGUGGCUUGCUGUACCUAGCCCACACUUUGCAAAUAUGCAUGCUUGAGAAACACUUGAAUUGAGACUCAUGAAAACUGCCUUCCAAUACCUUUUUUGGAAUUCAUCAGAUAUACUGAAUAACUGAAACAUUAUUAAAAAAUGAGGCCAUCACUACAAUGACAUAUUACUUGGUCCUAGGUUUGCAACCAAUUGGGAUAAAGGAAGUCUUGGUUUGAAUCAGUGGUUGAAUCAAGAGUUCUAUCAACAGGUAAAAAUAAUCUUGUUAGUGAUACAGCAGGUGACAAUUUUCCUACCAAGUCAGUCUAUUUAAAAUUUCCACAUGGAAUAGGGGAGCAUGGAGCAGUGAAAGCAGCAACAGAAUUACCCUGAGAAAUUAUCUUGGUAAAGGUGGGAUUGUAUCCUUAGCAUCCUGCUGAAUUUUAAAUUCAGCUAUGCUGUUCUGUCUACUGAAAUGACCCUGGGUAUCCUUCUCGGAAUCCAUCCUAAGGCUGUCGUGUUCACUUUUAAACAACAAUAAACACUGUUUAUUAAACAGUGGCCGUAUUCUCCUCAAAGGUGGAAUAAACAGCUAAUCUCUGUUACAGAGACCAAGCUAGUCUCUGAUGUUACCAAGUGACAAGCCUGAAAGAAACAUGAAGAGCUUGCUGCCCCGCCUCUAGAGAAAAGUUUUUAAUGUAUAUCUCCUUAAAAAUGACUGGGUCUUCUUCUUGACCUCUACAAAAUAAGUACACCACAACAUUUACUUGUUGAAUUAUGUAAAGUUAGCAAACAUAUACAAAAGAUGUUCUAUUAGCAGUGAGACAGCAAGUCUACAAUAGAAUUUGCCCCAGGGCUUUGUGUAAUUGACCUCAAAUUUCAGAAGCAAAGUGAAUAAUCUCUGCUCCGCCCUACUUCCUCAGAUAAGAGUUCAGGUGUCUAAUGGAAGGAUUUAAGGUUUUUAUAAAAGAAGAAUUUUAUAAAGGAACCAAGAAACAGCUAGGUUAUAAAAACUAAUUUGGCAAAAGGAAAAAUGGACAAUGUUUUAAAACCUUAGGGAGACGGGGAAGUGAGCUGGUGGCGCUUUAAUCCCAAAGGAUGUACCUUCCCUCCAUUUCCUGGGCCGUUUCCAUUCCACGCUUAUCUUCAGCAAUAACUGAACCAUAUCCGGAUGAGUCGCUCAUUUAAAAUCAGAACUCUUCCCUGCGGGAUCUACUCCCAGCCAUUGAUUGUGUUCUGUGUUCUACGGGUAGGUGCAGCCAGACCAGGCGCAGACUCCGCGCUGGCGAAGCAGCGCGCGAUCAUGGGGUGCAGGGGUCAACCCGGAGGUCUCGGCCUCGGGCGGUGGGCCGCUCGCCGGCAGCAGGGGGCGCUGCAGAACCUCUGUCCUCACCCUGGAGAACCACUUCCCCGGCUCAGCAGGUCUGCGCCGCCCGCCACCAUCCGACCCCAGGUUCUCUACCUAGUUCUGAGCGUUCUUCCUAAAAAAGACAGUAAGCCCUGCGGCACUCCCAGUGUACGUGACAGGAAAAAUACAGAGCAUCUCACCCUGUGAAACCGAUCACCCUCUUUUUAUCUUCUCUGCGUCUCGCACUGAUUAAAAGCUGUCUCCAAGAUUGGAAAUUAAGAAAAGUUGCUCUUUCUCAUGCAUUAGCGCGCCGACCGCUCCUUCGUUUAGAAAGAGAGAGAGGGGGAGAAAGAAAGAGAAAAAGAGAGCCCCCAUGCCGGGGCGCGAGCCACUCCGCCCGGGAACCGCGGCCAAAGUUACCACUAAAACGGUUCCCCGGCUGCCCGAUGCCCACUCCCUCUCUCAGGGAACCCUAUAGGGCUUCAGUUCCAGUUUCACCCCAACUGUGCCUGACACAGUCAGACGAGGCGCCUGGACAAACCUUCAACCCACACCCUGUAUCGCACUGUCCCCUCCCUACUCCCCACUUCUCUGCCCCCGCCCCCGACGUCCCAGAGCGUCGGAGGGGACCCAAGUUCCCAGCGUGGCUACAUGCUGGGACGCCCGGGAGAAGUUCGGGGUUCAAGUGCGCGCCUGGGUCUGUGCACAUCUUUUAACCUUCCUCGGCCUCCCUAGACAAAGAUGUAGGAAUUUUGAUCCUCCCCAGAAUACUGCACGAAGAGCACCAAGAUCCCAGAAGUCCUGGGUUUGAAUCUCAGCUCUGUCAUUCUAAGGCUGCGUUCUCUUCUUAAACUGUGGGAAGAAAGCUAAUGGAACUCGAGAGCAGGUGAAAUGGAAGGCUAUGUGCAAGUUCUAAGAGAAUAAAAUUUGUUUUCUAAUGUUGCCUCUUUAUCUAGAUUGUUUUUUCAUAACCUGAUUAAAAAUCUCUGUCCUUUUCACCUUCUCCCCUGCCUGAAG